rnacentral:rRNA from 1 species
GAUGAACGCUGGCGGCGUGCCUAAUACAUGCGAGUCGAGCGAACAGACGAGGAGCUUGCUCCUCUGACGUUAGCGGCGGACGGGUGAGUAACACGUGGAUAACCUACCUAUAAGACUGGGAUAACUUCGGGAAACCGGAGCUAAUACCGGAUAAUAUAUUGAACCGCAUGGUUCAAUAGUGAAAGACGGUUUUGCUGUCACUUAUAGAUGGAUCCGCGCCGCAUUAGCUAAUUGGUAAGGUAACGGCUUACCAAGGCAACGAUGCGUAGCCGACCUGAGAGGGUGAUCGGCCACACUGGAACUGAGACACGGUCCAGACUCCUACGGGAGGCAGCAGUAGGGAAUCUUCCGCAAUGGGCGAAAGCCUGACGGAGCAACGCCGCGUGAGUGAUGAAGGUCUUCGGAUCGUAAAACUCUGUUAUUAGGGAAGAACAAAUGUGUAAGUAACUAUGCACGUCUUGACGGUACCUAAUCAGAAAGCCACGGCUAACUACGUG